GUUGAGAAAAGUGUGAAAUUUUUGUCUGUUUGUGAACCACUGAAACUUCAAACAGUGACAGAAUUCCACAUAUCUUUGUCUCCUAGAACUGUUUUAAUUCUUCUUCACUGAAUAUUUGUAGGCAAGAUAUUCUGAAAAGAGCUGUAGAUUACAUCUAUCUGGGACAUACAGGGUGAUCACAAGGGCAGAUCCUGUGCUCCAGGUUUCGGUGAUUCUUACUGCUUCUCACAUUUAAGGAGACAUGACGUCCUAUUCUACCAAGGGAAUAAUUGUCGUAUUAUGGUUGGAAGACCUUUCUGGAUAUAAGAGAAGAGAGAUAAGGGAGAGACCCUUUGGAAGACUGGAAAAAACAUAAAUAAAAGAAAGAAUGACUUGUGCCAAGAGGCCACUUUUUCUGGACAGUAAUGUCACUGUGAAGAACGUUUCUCCCUCAUCACUCAGGUAAGAUGUGGUUGGUGACUGGUUGGCUCUAUAAUAAAUAAAAUAGUGGUUUUGAUGUGUUUAAAACACACAUGAUAAAGUAACUACUUUACUGAUGCA
rnacentral:lncRNA from 1 species